rnacentral:SRP_RNA from 1 species
GCUGGGCAUGGUGGCACGUGCCUGUAGUCCCAGCUACUUGGGAGGCUGAGGUGGGAGGAUCGCUUGAACCCAGGAUUUCUGGGUUGUAAUGCGCUAUGCCAAUCCGGUGUCCGCACGAAGUUUGGCAUCAAUUUGGUGACCUCCCGGGAGCUGGGGACCUCCAGGUUGCCUAAGGAGGGGUGAACCGGCCCAGGUCGGAAACAGAGCAGGUCAAAACUCCCUUGCUGAUUGGUGGUGAGAUCAGGCCUGUGAAGAGCCACUGCACUCCAGCCUGGGCAACAUAGUGAGACCCCACCUCU